UUUGAAGUCACUAAUUGAGACCUAGGUUUCAUGAUCAAAUAAUUAUUUUUUAUUUUAUAGCCUCAUGUAACAUUGUCCAAAUAUUUCUUAUCAUUCUUGUUAUCAGGUGUAUGUCAAGCACUGUAUUGAGGAAAAAAACCACAACAAAUGUUUGGAAAAGAUAGAGGCUUGUUAGUAAUUUUCAUAAACCUGAUAUAAUCAGAAGCAGCAUCCAAGUCUAGAUUGGAAAGAUUUCUCUCAAUGUCUCCAUGAAGAUUUCCCUCAAAGAAAGCUGAUGUCUAAGAUCAUACUACUGAAGGAGGAAAUUGGGUACAUUUAACUGCAGAAAAGCUUUGUGCCUCACUCUUCUCUUACACCUGGGGAGUCAAAUCUGGAUCCUCUGCUCCAUAUUUACUUAGCAAAUAAAACACUGAUCUCAAACAGCAACGGAACCUGUGUACUUGAGGUGUUUUUUGAAAACUAAUCAGAAGAGGAAUGCUUAUCUCCCAAGAAAAUUGAAACCAUCUGUAAAAGAAUCUUGGCUGUGCUGUGUUUUGAUUAGAUUGAAGCUUGGUGUAAAGAGAAAACACAAAAGACCGCA
rnacentral:lncRNA from 1 species